rnacentral:rRNA from 1 species
AGUGAACGCUGGCGGUAGGCCUAACACAUGCAAGUCGAACGGCAGCACAGUAAGAGCUUGCUCUUACGGGUGGCGAGUGGCGGACGGGUGAGGAAUACAUCGGAAUCUACUUUUUCGUGGGGGAUAACGUAGGGAAACUUACGCUAAUACCGCAUACGACCUACGGGUGAAAGCAGGGGAUCUUCGGACCUUGCGCGAUUGAAUGAGCCGAUGUCGGAUUAGCUGGUUGGCGGGGUAAAGGCCCACCAAGGCGACGAUCCGUAGCUGGUCUGAGAGGAUGAUCAGCCACACUGGAACUGAGACACGGUCCAGACUCCUACGGGAGGCAGCAGUGGGGAAUAUUGGACAAUGGGCGCAAGCCUGAUCCAGCCAUACCGCGUGGGUGAAGAAGGCCUUCGGGUUGUAAAGCCCUUUUGUUGGGAAAGAAAAGCAGCAGGUUAAUACCCCGCUGUCCUGACGGUACCCAAAGAAUAAGCACCGGCUAACUUCGUG